AGAGCGCAUGUACCCAAGGUGUCCUAUGUAACAUAUCUAGAUGUUUGGAUGCUUUUCUGUAUGUUUUUCGUAUUUAGUACAAUGGUGGAGUUUAUAACGAUUGUCAUCCUUUUCCGUCAUAAGCGGGUUAAACUAGCAAUUAAGGUACAGAGGUUGACCCGUCUGUUCCUACCUUGCUGUUUCCUGUUGUUUAACCUGGCAUACUGGCCGAACGUUAUGUACGAUCGAUG